UACGUAGGGCGCAAGCGUUAUCCGGAAUUAUUGGGCGUAAGAGCUCGUAGGCGGUUUGUCGCGUCUGCCGUGAAAGUCCGGGGCUCAACUCCGGAUCUGCGGUGGGUACGGGCAGACUAGAGUGAUGUAGGGGAGACUGGAAUUCCUGGUGUAGCGGUGAAAUGCGCAGAUAUCAGGAGGAACACCGAUGGCGAAGGCAGGUCUGCCUGGCCAAUACUGACGGUGGAGGAAG
rnacentral:rRNA from 1 species